GUACGCCAUGUAUGUGACCCUUGGAAAGCCCUUCGAUUUUUCAGCAGUGAGUUUUAUCAAUUAUUUGGUUAUUUGUUCACCAAAAUGGACUGAAAAGACAAUUUAGUAUCGGUGCCAAUUAGUAAAAGACAAUUAUUAAUGACAAUUAAUGAGAAUUAUUAAGAUUUUUUACUUGACAUAUUUGAUUAAUUAGUUAGACAUGCCUGAAUCAGGAGGUGGUGGUGCCAUCAGUUACUACAGGCAUUUCCUCUGGCAAGCCAACAGUCAGUCACCAAACCAAUGAUCCAACCGGAUCUAAACGUUAUGGAGGUCACCCCAUCUGUGCCAGACGUCAUGGAGAUCACCCCAGCUAUGAGAAUCCAUAAAGGACUCGGCUGUGAUGAAACAGAUUCUGCUCACUGUGACUGGGUGAAGGAGUACCGAACCCACUUUGCUGGGAAAGUUCAUCUACCACAGGUCACAAGAAUGAACGAGGAUGAUCAUUGACCAAUAACUGUCUGUCUGUCUGAAAAAAAAAAUCUUGUUGUUCAUUCUCUCCUUUGCUUACUCCAGCUUUAAUCCUAGUAG